UACAGAGGGGGCAAGCGUUAUUCGGAAUUAUUGGGCGUAAAGAGCUCGUAGGCGGUCUGUCGCGUCGGCUGUGAAAACUCGGGGCUCAACCCCGAGCCUGCAGUCGAUACGGGCAGACUAGAGUUCGGUAGGGGAGACUGGAAUUCCUGGUGUAGCGGUGAAAUGCGCAGAUAUCAGGAGGAACACCGGUGGCGAAGGCGGGUCUCUGGGCCGAUACUGACGCUGAGGAGCGAAAGCGUGGGGAGCGAACAGG
rnacentral:rRNA from 1 species